AUUGAACGCUGGCGGCAUGCCUAACACAUGCAAGUCGAACGAGUGGCGGACGGGUGAGUAAUGUCUGGGAAACUGCCUGAUGGAGGGGGAUAACUACUGGAAACGGUAGCUAAUACCGCAUACCAUCAGAUGUGCCCAGAUGGGAUUGGCUAGUUGGUGGGGUAACGGCUCACCAAGGCGACGAUCCCUAGCUGGUCUGAGAGGAGGACCGGCCACACUGGAACUGAGACACGGGCCAGACUCCUACGGGAGGCAGCAGUGGGGAAUAUUGCACAAUGGGCGCAAGCCUGAUGCAGCCAUGCCGAGUGUGUGAAGAAGGCCUUCGGGUUGUAAAGUACUUUCAGCGGGGAGGCGUUAGCCGCAGAAGAAGCACCGGCUAACUCCGUGCCAGCAGCCGCGGUAAUUC
rnacentral:rRNA from 1 species